rnacentral:rRNA from 1 species
AUUGAACGCUGGCGGCAGGCCUAACACAUGCAAGUCGAGCGAGCGGCGGACGGGUGAGUAAUGUAUGGGGACUGCCCGAUAGAGGGGGAUAACUACUGGAAACGGUGGCUAAUACCGCAUCCUAUCGGAUAACCCAUAUGGGAUUAGCUAGUAGUUUGGGUAAAGGCUCACCUAGGCUACGAUCUCUAGUGUGUCUGAGAGGAUGAUGAGCCACACUGGGACUGAGACACGGCACAGACUCCUACGGAGGCAGCAGUGUGGAAUAUUGCACAAUGGGCGCAAGCCUGAUGCAGCCAUGCCUCGUGUAUGAAGAAGGCCUUAGGGUUGUAAAGUACUUUCAGCGGGGAGGCGUUACACGCAGAAGAAGCACCGGCUAACUCCGUGCCAGCAGCCGCGGUAAUUA